rnacentral:rRNA from 1 species
AGGUUACUGCUAUCGAGGUUCGACUAAGCCAUGCGAGUCGAAUGUAGCAAUACAUGGCGUACUGCUCAGUAACACGUGGACAACCUACCCUCCGGACGGGUAUAAACCCGGGAAACUGGGUAUAAUCCCCGAUAGAUCUCGGUCGCUGGAAAGCCCCGAGAUCGAAAGCUCCGGCGCCAGAGGAUGGGUCUGCGGCCUAUCAGGUAGUAGUGGGUGUAGCGUACCUACUAGCCUACGACGGGUACGGGUUGUGAGAGCAAGAGCCCGGAGAUGGAUUCUGAGACACGAAUCCAGGCCCUACGGGGUGCAGCAGGCGCGAAAACUUUACAAUGCCGGCAACGGCGAUAAGGGGACCUCGAGUGCCAGGUUACAAAUCUGGCUGUCGUGAUGCCUAAAAAGCAUUGCAUAGCAAGGGCCGGGCAAGACCGGUGCCAGCCGCCGCGGUAACACCGGCAGCUCGAGUGGUAACCGUUAUUAUUGGGUCUAAAGGGUCUGUAGCCGGCCAGAUAAGUCUCUUGAGAAAUCCAGCAGCUCAACUGUUGGGCUUUCAGGAGAUACUGUCUGGCUCGAGGCCGGGAGAGGUGAGAGGUACUUCAGGGGUAGGGGUGAAAUCUUGUAAUCCUUGAAGGACCACCAGUGGCGAAGGCGUCUCACCAGAACGGACCUGACGGCAAGGGACGAAAGCUAGGGGCACGAACCGGAUUAGAUACCCGGGUAGUCCUAGCCGUAAACGAUACUCGCUAGGUGUCGGCCACGGUGCGACCGUUGUCGGUGCCGUAGGGAAGCCGUGAAGCGAGCCACCUGGGAAGUACGGCCGCAAGGCUGAAACUUAAAGGAAUUGGCGGGGG